rnacentral:lncRNA from 10 species
CCAGCCACUCCUCCUGUACUCAGGCCCCAGCUCCUCUGUUCUGCCCAGUGGCCUGGCGCAGGAAAGGAAGUGCACACGCAGGCGGCCCCGGCUCGGGGGUGGCAGGGCCUCCCCUGAGAUGAGCUCCAGCAGCCGCAGGAGGUGGAUGCCGUCAGCCAGCUCUGUGUACAGGUUCCGGAUCUUGAUGCCCGCCUGGGGAGGGGACAGGGGUAAGUAUGGGGUCAGCCCAGCCUCACCUGUCCUCCCAUCCUGGGACCUGAGAGGUACGACCCAGAGCAGCUGCUUUGGAAGAAGGAGCUCUGGCCUCAGCUUGGCCUCAGGCAGAUGACCCCACAGCUCACCCCGGAGGCCCACUGGCCAGAGCUGGGGGCCUGGUAUGGGUGGGCUGUGGGUCACAGCUGGCUAUACUCACCUGGCCGCACUGGAAGACGUUAUUGAUCCACUUGGUGAAAGUCUUCUCCUGCAUCUGCAUGUGCCGGGCCUGUAGCUUGCGAAUGUGGCCCGUCUCGUACUGAGAGUCCAUGGUGAGACUUGGACUGGGCGGGACCCGGAGUUCUGUGCUGGGCCUCCUGCUGCGGUGCCCUGCAGCCCCGAGGAGCUCCCGGGGACUGUGGGGCUGACCAGCCAUCAGCCCUGCAGACUUUGGGGAUGAGGAGCUGCUGGAUGGCUCCCUAAACCUGGAGGGCAUGCAGAUUAGGGGAUGAUGUGAAUGGAGAUGGCCCCUCUACCAGGGGCCUGGGGUCCCGCCUUGCCAGACUGUCCUCACAUUUCAUGGGGGUUGCAGCUUGGAGCCCAGCCAGGUAAGGGCCAGUGCUUCUGGUCCCCUGUGCUUGAAUGGCCCAGGGCCCCCUUUGCCCCACCCCACCUUCCAGAUUCUUCUUCUCAGAGCCCCUGCUGCCAGGUCCCUCCACCACAGUGACUGGGACAGGUGGAAGGAAGACAGGAAACUGCUUACCUUGGUGAUGCCUGGGUCCCACAGAGACGGCUCUGCUGGACGGAUGGAGAUGGUAGAUAGCAGGGGCUGCUUACCUUGGUGAUGCCUGGGUUCCACAGAGGCGGCCCAGCUGGACGGAUGGAGAUGGCAGAUAGCAGGGGCUGUGGAGGGAGGGAGAGGGACAUCAGGAGAGGCCAAGGCUGGAGCAGGGCUGCACCACAGCCCUCCCCUUGAGCCAGCGUGCUGGGGUGACGGCACACAGGCGGCAUUGUCCUCCCACCUGCCACAGGGCGUGGCCCAGACAGGGAGGGGGUGGUUCAGGAAUGCUCCAGGGCCAUUGCCAGAUGAUGUCCUCCUUCAUCAUCCUCCCUUCCCCGCCAGCAACUUCUCCAACUCCAGGUGGGGGUCCUGGCUCCCAGGACGCAGAGGCCCAUGGAGCGGCCCUGCCACCGCAUGGGGUGCUGCAGUCUGCGUAGGAGGUACCAAAGGGCAGAGCCUCUGUGGGAAGCCUGUGGACGCACUUCCCAAUCUGAGACUGCCCUCUGUACCCUCUUGGGGCCUCUCUGUGAGCACCCAGGGCGAGGGGAUGAGGGAGCGUCCUGGGCCGUGGUCUUCUCAUUCACCCCCAGGGAACAGCCCAUAGACUGAGGGCCUCACAGACCCUGGGCUUGGCUUUCCAGGCCCUGCCAGAGUGCAGCCUGCCUAGCCCGGGGCUGAAGGGUAGGCUCCCUGGAGGAAGGGGUGACCUGGAACUGCGAGGGCUGUGGAGUCUCCUCCAAAAUUAGAGACACGGUGUUAACUCUGGGCUCCACAGAGCUGGCCGUGGCCCGGGGCUCGGAGGCAGGGGUGCAGAGGGAGCUGGUGGGCGCCCAUCCCUUCCUCCCCGAGCAGCCGUGGACUACAUGCCAGAGUGAAGGCGAGUUCUAAUUCUGGGGGUCUCACCCGCCUCUGGCUAAACUCAGGGUAGCAGUGUGGGCUGGGGUGUGUGUGUGUGGGUGUCUUCCAGCGGCCCUGGAGCCUCUGAAGCGACAGCCCGCUCCUCAGGGAGGCGCUCCUGGCAGCCACAGCCCACAGCAGGACAGCCGCUCAGCGCGCCCUUGAGAGCUGGGCUAGGGAUGAGUCACACUUGAACCGCCUGGGCCCACUGCAGGCAGUCAGGGGUGACGCUGAGAGGUGCCGUGGUCUCGGGUGGGGUGCGGCUUCCUGCGUCUGAGAGACGCUUCCUCUCCUGCUGUCCUCUCCCUGCCAGGCCCCUUCUGCAGCGGCUGGCUUCCAGACACCCUGCGUCCCUCCCUUGCUCGCAGCAGUUGCUGUGGCGGUCCUCCCGUGCACCCCCCCUUCUGCCCUCACUGCCCCUGGGGGUCCUCAUCACGGACCCCCUAACUCGGCAUCCUGGACACCACCACCCCGCACCUUUCCACAGUGCAGCUCUGCUCGUGCCUGUGAAGCCUCCCACAGCCUGGGAAGGAAAAUCCAGACUUGCCAGACCUUGCCUCAGCCAGGCCUUGGAAGCCUGCCAGCUUACCUAACCAGGCUAGUCUGCCCCCCUCACUCUGGGUGCUCUCCAUGGGCCACUCACCAUUUCCUGAGCAGGACCAGAGCUCUCCUGCCCCAAGGCUGGGCUUCAGCUGCUCUUUCAGCUUUGAACGUCCUUUCCCAUUCUCCAUCAUCCACAUUCACCUAUCCUGCCUGCCCCAGUUAAAAUCCUGUUUCUUCUAGGAAGUCCCUCAUCCCACCCGCUUACCCCAGGGAGACUGAGCUUGUUCCUUCUCCUAGUAAGACCCUCAGCCCAUGGAGUCCUGUGUGAUGUUGUGAGCGUGGGAGGACAGACUGAACUGCUCGGCCCGUGGAGUCCUGUGUGAUGUUGUGAGCGGGGAGGACAGACUGAACUGCGUGGUGCUUCGCACAUAGACCUCAACAGGGAUUGGCAUUUUGAAGCUGUUGGCGGGGGCUGUGGACUGCUUUUCUUCCUUUCUAGCUCAACGGCAGCUAAAGCCACUGCAUACAAUGCAAGGACUGGCUCCUGUUUGGCCACGACUGAUUGCAGCCCCUGGUGAAAUGAGAACCCUGUGGGUCGGAACAAAGUUUGGAUUAUUUAUGUUGCAAGUAACUAAAAUCUCAAGUGAAACUGGUUUAAACAUUAUAUUUUUAUUAUUUAUUUAUUUAUAUUUAAUUCUUUUUUAGAGACAGGGUCUUCUUAGGUUGCCCAGGCUGGUCUUGAACUCCUGGCCUCAACGAUCUUCCCACUUCAGCCUCCUGCAUUGCUGGGAUUAUAGGUGUGAGCCACCAUGCCUGGCUUACACAGUAUAAAGGGAAUGCAUUGGCCCACACAGUGGAAAAAAAUAUCUAGUAGGAAUAGGAAGGACUUCAGGAAGAGUUGGGGCUCACAGGCACACCCUCUCCCUAACUCUUCUCCCCCGGUUCAACCUGGAUCCAGGGAUCCACACUCUGCUCCGAGAGGCCAGCACGCAGCCACUGGAAAAUGAGCCAGUGGGAGAGGGCAGCUCCAUGUUUAUUGAUCAGCAGACUAUGUCUUUUUGUUUGAAACUUCUAAAUAAGAUUACAAAAAGAAAAAAAAUAGAAGCAUUGCGUAUUAACUGCAUUGGUUAACCAACAUUGGAACCCAAUACUCUUGUAUUAGGCCCGCAUUUACCUGAGUAAACUCAGUGGUUUUCUGUCCUAAGCAUGCUUGCCUGCUACAUCCCAUGGAGAAAAUAAACAGUGAAACACUUUCCUCAUCUUCAAGGCAAUUGUCUCAGGCAUCCUCCAGGCAUCAUGAAGGAGGGUGAGCGAGGGUGCGAGGUGGAAAGGUCCAGGCCGCGGCUGUGACUCCCGCGGGUGAACCACAGCUCCACAGCCCCAAAUCCAAAGAUGCUCUUGCUGCAGCACGACAAGUGUUCAAAAGAGAACCAGGCCCAGCCCGGAGAAAGGAAAGCCAAAAGCCAACUGAAUGAAUGACCCUCCCCCAGAAGAGCAACCCUGCCCCCAGGCCAUCCAAGUGCGAACAUUACCAGGUGCCAGCAGGGAAAGGACUCCGCUGCCUGACGCCUCUCCCACCUGAGAGCGCAGAGGUAGGGAGAUCACAGUGCCUGAGAGGUUUUCCUCCACGGAGAAAUCAGAGACCUCAACCUGCUGCCCUCUAAAGCAGCUUUCUGUAUCCAGACAAAACUUACAUAUGUACACGUUGUUUUAAAACGACAUACUCAUGUGACACACAUGUAUAUAAAUUCAUGUUUAUAUAUGACAAUUGAGGAGAGUUAAAGAACAAGAUAAUUCUGGAUGGAAAAAUCAGUUUGCCUGGGCAUCUGUAAACCUUUGGGCAAGUGAAUUCCCUCUUCUCUCUCAGUUCACCCUUUGGUGACCUCCACCGUGGCUGCAGACUUCAGGUGGUCCUCACGCAUUCACAGAACUGUCUGCUUAGGUUACAGCACUUUGGGAGGCCGAGGUGGGUAGAUCACGAGGUCAGGAGAUCGAGACCAUAUUGACCAACAUGGUAAAACCCCAUCUCUACUAAAAUACAAAAAUUAGCCGGGCGUGGUGGCGGGUGCCUGUAGUCCCAGCUACUUGGGAGGCUGAGGCAGGGGAAUCACUUGAACCUGGGAGGCGGAGGUUGCAGUGAACUGAGAUUGCGCCACUGCACUCCAGCCUGGGUGACAGAGAC